AAGGGUUUCACCGGUGUUGGCUG
rnacentral:siRNA from 1 species